GCGCGAUGUAUUUCCACUUGGACGCGGACAAGGUGCAAAUAAUAAUUAUUAAUAUAUACACACGCCGCAGCUAUAUGACGUGUAUUAGCAGUAGUCCGACGAGUCGACGGACGAGCAGACGAUUUAUGGACCAGAGCAGAAGCGGAAAAUUUGCACUAGCGUGUCUGCGUGUUUAUCUAUAUAACAGAGACAAUCACAAAGAUGCGGCUCUACCAAACCUACCUAACCUGUUCUAACUUCUAAGAAAAUAUUCAUAGUUGAAGUUUGCUGGCACGUAC